CACGUAGGGGGCGAGCGUUGUCCGGAUUUAGUGGGCGUAAAGAGCUCGUAGGCGGUUCGGCAAGUCGGGUGUGAAAUUUCGAGGCUCAACCUCGAAACGCCACUCGAUACUGCUGUGACUGGAGUCCGGUAGAGGAGUGCGGAAUUCCUGGUGUAGCGGUGAAAUGCGCAGAUAUCAGGAGGAACACCAACGGCGAAGGCAGCACUCUGGGCCGGUACUGACGCUGAGGAGCGAAAGCGUGGGGAGCAAACAGG
rnacentral:rRNA from 1 species